rnacentral:misc_RNA from 1 species
GAAGCUUUCUUUUGUCAUGUUCCUGGUAUCAAAGUGGUUAUCCCUCGAAGUCCACAGCAAGCAAAAGGAUUAUUAUUGUCAUGCAUACGGGAUCCAAACCCUGUUGUCUUUUUUGAACCAAAAUGGCUUUAUCGCUUGGCAGUAGAAGAGGUCCCUGAGCAUGAUUAUAUGUUGCCAUUGUCAGAGGCAGAGGUGAUCCGAGAAGGCAGUGACAUAACUCUUGUUGGUUGGGGAGCACAACUGUCUAUCAUGGAGCAGGCUUGUACUGAUGCCGAGAAGGAUGGAAUUUCUUGUGAACUGAUUGACCUCAAAACUUUAAUACCCUGGGA